UUGAUUACAAUUAUUUAGCUCAGUGUGGUUUUUUUCUUAUUGUUCUUCCAACAUGGAAAAGUUUUGGUCCUGUUCAGUUGACAGGUGGGGGAUCUACAGGAUCCCUGAAAUAGAGUCUGUCUGUCUGAAAUCUCUUAUAUACAUUUUGAACUUAUUCCCUGACAUUCUUUUCUUCAGUCCCUUUCAUAGUAACUGCCUUUUCUAAAACAUUUGUGCCAUCGAACAACAGAUGACUUCUACAUCACUAAAUUAUGACAAGAAGUAAUUAAAACAACGGUGGUAAUUUAUAAAUGUGGAUAGAGAAAAACCGCUCCUGUAAGAUAACUUUUGCAUUAGUGAACAAUGAAGAAGAGCUGAUUAAAACAACUGCUACUCACUGCAGCCUAUCAACCUGACAAUUGUGAAUGGAGAUAUAGCUCCUCUUAAGUUCUUAAUGGAAUGGAAUUCCUGGCCAAGUAGCAGCUUCUGAUAGCUUUUAUAUUUCCAUUUGCUAAUCAGUAGCUGUAACAUUUCAUCUCCUCAGCAUGCCAUUUUAUGAUAGAAACAGAGAAAGGAGGUAUGUCCUUCAAGCAACCAGUAACAUCGUAGUCUGAUCUGCAGCCUAGAAGGAACCAGCACGUACUCCUCUUCUCAUUUCUCUCAGACAUCCUAAAAAGGCUCUUCCCACCUUAAUGGCAAUUUACUUGCAGUUUAUUGUGAGAUAAAGCUCCUGGCCCAGCAGGACAGGUCUGCAAAAUCUUCACUAAGUGAAUGUGCUUCUUUCAGGCGAGAUAAAAAUUAAUUGAACAGAAAUUGUGGUUUUAAAAUGUUCAUUAAGCAUCACCAUACAAAAGCCCAUUUAAAAGAAAAGAACUCUAGUUUUAGAACGUCCUGUAUGUUUAAAUAUCAGCCAAGUGAAAUAUUGCCUUAGCACUGUUUUCCUGCAUUGUGUUACUGGACUGAAAAAACAAACAGGAAGAAGGCAAUAGCAAAGCACUUACAUACUAUUACCAAGAAAUCUAGAUGGAUACCACAACAACAGAGAUCAGAGAAAGAAAACUGAUUAUGUGCCAUCAAGUCAGUGUUGACUCUUAGUGAUUGCAUUGCUAGAUUUUCUCCAUAAUAAUCUUUGGUCACUAAUCUUUCAGGCCUUUCAUCAAUGCCCCAACUGUACUGUAACUGUUCUUCUACCUUUCUGCUAAUUAUAUUAUUCUUCUCUUUCCUUUCCCAGCAUUAGAGCCUUCUCCAGAGAGUUAGAUCUUCACAUAAUGUGUGUGAAGUAAAGCAAUUUGAACCUGGCCAUUUGUAUCUCAAGUGGACUGAUUGUUUGAUGAUCCAUUUGUUUUUCCCAAAGGAGCUUUUUUCCAAGAGGCAGCUGGACUUUUUGGUUUUUCUUUGAAGACGUUUCACUUCUCAUCCAAGAAGC